rnacentral:miRNA from 1 species
GCGCCUGGGGUCUGGCGGGGCC